UGGGGAAUAUUGCACAAUGGGCGCAAGCCUGAUGCAGCCAUGCCGCGUGUAUGAAGAAGGCCUUCGGGUUGUAAAGUACUUUCAGCGGGGAGGAAGGGAGUAAAGUUAAUACCUUUGCUCAUUGACGUUACCCGCAGAAGAAGCCCCGGCUAACUCCGUGCCAGCAGCCGCGGUAAUACGGAGGGUGCAAGCGUUAAUCGGAAUUACUGGGCGUAAAGCGCAGGCAGGCGGUUUGUUAAGUCAGAUGUGAAAUCCCCGGGCUCAACCUGGGAACUGCAUCUGAUACUGGCAAGCUGGAGUCUCGUAGAGGGGGGUAGAAGUCCAGGUGUAGCGGUGAAAUGCGUAGAGAUCUGGAGGAAUACCGGUGGCGAAGGCGGCCCCCUGGACGAAGACUGACGCUCAGGUGCGAAAGCGUGGGGAGCAAACAGG
rnacentral:rRNA from 1 species